GCCUCGAUAGCUCAGUUGGUAGAGCAGCGGACUGAAAAUCCGCGUGUCGCUGGUUCGAUUCCGGCUCGAGGCACCA
rnacentral:tRNA from 13 species